GGGUACCACGGCAAGAUGAUGAGGAUGGAGCGUGGAGGAAAGAGAUGCCCGAGACACGAGACGAUCCAGGUAUGCCAUCUACACCGGCUUCUCCUUUCUCUCCAGGAGUACCAGGUGCCCCCUGCAAACCACCCUCACCUGAACCCUUCUGACCUGGUGGACCCAUACUGCCUAGUUCUCCAGGAAUCCCACUGUCUCCUUUAUCACCUGAGACACAUUGACCAAAGACAACCUUUAACCAGAGGUUCCACGGUAAAACAUUUAGUUUAUUAAUGUAUUGUAAUCCCACCACCAAAACAAACAUGUAUGGAUUUAAGUAGUCACCUGGCUGUCCCGGUAAACCAGGUUCUCCAUUUUUGCCUGGCAUUCCAGGAUCUCCAGGUAGUCCACGAUAACCUUUCUGUCCUGUCACUCCAGCGUUUCCUAAUAAGCGAGACAACAAUCUUAUGUGUGAGACUUGAGUGAACUUCCAUGUUUCAUGUUUUUCCGAAGGCGUUCCCACCUGGGUCGCCAAUGUCUCCCUUAUCCCCCCUCAUUUUCACCAUGUCGACUUUACUCAUGUUCCCUGGAGGUCCUUGAGGACCUUGCUCUCCCCUCUCUCCUUUUGCUCCAAUUUGUCCAAUUAGUCCUCGUAAACCAGGAACACCGGGAUCACCUGAGAAAGAUGUUAAAAAAGACAAUAUUCUGUUUUGUUGUUAAAUAUUAUUUACCAGAACUUCAAGGAGUAUCACCCUAAACCCGAUUUCUGAAGGCUCCCCAUCCCACUUCUGACACCAUUUUUCACAGAAGCAUCCUAAACCAAAGAGAUUGGCAGAAUCCAAGUGCUUCAAACACUAGCAGAACACACGACCUGUUGAAGGCGUUCUUCAUACCGAGCAGAUCACAGCAUGUCCUCACUACUACUCUUCCCACUUCUCAGAGCAUUUUCAAACCACCGCCCCAAAAAAACCUUUGACUUAGACUGAAACACAUUCAAAUAAACUUUUAAUGAUUCGUCACCUGUCAAGCCUUGACCUCCAGGUAAACCUGGUGAUCCCUGAAAUCCUGGCGAUCCUGGGGUCCCAAUGACUCCCAUUUCACCUUUGGAACCUGGCCAAAAAACGCAGGUAAGGGAAAUUACUGUAACUCACAAAGAGCAAUCUAUUUGUUAAAACGUGUUUCUCACCUUGCUGUCCUAUCUGUCCAUCCCUUCCUGGAAAGCCUGGUGUUCCUGGCAGUCCUUUAACACCAGGGACUCCCGGGAACCCAGAGACUCCUUUUUCUCCUUGAGGCCCUGGCAUGUCGAGGCCAGGUGGACCUGGAUAGCCCUGCUCUCCUUUUUCACCUUCCCUACCUACACAAAAUCCAGUAUUUAGUUUACCAGAACUCUAUCAUAGGGCAAAAUAAAAAACCUUAUUGCAUCCAAAUGUGUAAAAUAAAAUACCCAAAAUAUUUUACAUACCAAAUGGACCAGGCUCUCCAGGCAGUCCUUGUGGUCCAGGGGCACCUGGCAAGCCGUUUCCUGGAGCUCCUGGUAACCCUACCACUCCAACAGGUCCAACACGGCCCAUGCUACCUAAAACCCAAAUAAAACAAUGUCUGGGUCGUUCAACUAGAUAGCAUGACCAGAGUAUGCAUAACAUUGGAACCAUCCAGUGAUACCUUUGAUUCCUUGAGGUCCUGGUGGUCCUGUCUGGCCUUCUCUCCCAGGAAUACCUGGCAGUCCCAAGCCACCUUUCUCUCCUGGGAAGCCAAUAAUACCAGAGGUACCCUUUGAACCUUUUGGUCCUGGGAGACCCAUUCCUGGUUCACCCUGUUAGGUAAUGGUAGAGGAUUUAGGCUAAUUUCUGUACAGAAUAUCAUAUGUGACCUAAUCAGUAAUUUGUUCGAAGAUCAUUAAAUUAAUACGCACUUUUUGUCCAUGUGGACCAGGCUGUCCAAAAAUACCAUCCUGUCCGGGUCUUCCUGGCUCUCCGGACAAUCCGGGAGCACCUGGAAUUCCACUGAUUCCUGGAAAUAUAGAGCUCCAUUUGAACAUUUUCAUGGGUCUGAAGGUAUCCGGUGCAUGUCUUUGGUACUGUAUGACUAGUUACGGAAAAAUUGAAAUAGUGGAAUACUAUACCUUUGGGACCAGUCGGGCCAGGAAAUCCAAUUCCAGGAAAACCUUGAUCACCUUUCUGACCAGGAAAACCUGGUACUCCAGCGUCUCCUUGGAGACCUCUGUCCCCUGCAGCCAACAACAAGCUCUGAUCAAAUAGAUUUUAUUUCUGCAAAUUCUUGACAAAUGACAAAUAUGACAUAGUCCCCCUAAUACUUGGUCAAACGCCAAUCAAAAAGAAAACAUCCCAAGGAAAGAAGGUUUGAGCUUACCUAGCAGUCCAUCUCUGCCAGGCUCCCCACGUGGUCCAGGUAUACCUUGCGCUCCAGGGGUGCUCACGCCUGUACCUGGCUCACCUUUGGCACCUAGACACAAAUAAUACAUUUUGCAUGUGUGUUUACGAACCUUGUACAAAUGAGUAUAAAUAUUCAUGAGACUAAUCGCUCACCAGGUACUCCAGGGGAUCCGGGGAUACCUGGAGUCCCGUGACUUCCCUUGUCCCCAGGCACCCCUGGUCGGCCAUAGCCUGGCACACCUGAAGGACCCCUCUCCCCUGGAGGGCCUACACGACCAGGGUCUCCGAUUGGUCCAUGAUCACCCUUGAUGCCGCCUCUGCCCUAAAAGCAAAGUCAUCAAGUAGAAAGAACACUCAAACAAAACACUAAAACUGUUCAAAGAACGCUUUUCUUACAGGUUCUCCUUUGUGGCCGGGCACACCCGGUAGGCCAUCCCUCCCAGGUUUCCCAUCCAGGCCUGGUUGUCCUGGUGAACCGGCGAAACCGGGCAAACCUUUGUCUCCUUUCAGACCUGAAGCAAUGAAAAUGUCUCCGGGCGCUCCAACUGCACCUGGUUCCCCAAUCAAACCGGGACUGCCAUUGAGGCCCUAAAUACAGACCAGGAGGACCUUUUGACAGACAGAGACUACUUCAGCUGAGGCCCUGGGGUCCAGGUAAUCCAGCGGGGCCAAACCCUUCGCACUGAACACAAGUGUCUCCUUGGUCACCUGCAUACAAAAUAUAAUUGUAAAUAUUAUAGGAGUCAAUAAAAUAAUUUUAUUUCACUGGGUCAACCUUUCUGUCCCAGUUCUCCUUGAAGCCCUGGAGCUCCAGGUGGGCCUUGGGCGCCUUUUGCAAUGUUGCAUUUAUCGGGGUCAACUGUUGGAUACAAAAUAUG